UACGAAGGGGGCUAGCGUUGUUCGGAAUUAUUGGGCGUAAAGGGUGCGUAGGCGGUUUGGUAAGUCUGAUGUGAAAUCUAUGGGCUCAACUCAUAGUCUGCAUCGGAAACUGCCGGGCUUGAGUAUGGGGAGAGGUGAGUGGAAUUCCUGGUGUAGCGGUGAAAUGCGUAGAUAUCAGGAGGAACACCUGUGGCGAAAGCGGCUCACUGGACCAUAACUGACGCUGAUGCACGAAAGCUAGGGGAGCAAACAGG
rnacentral:rRNA from 1 species